ACGAGGGCGUCGUGCCUUUAUAAGACUACGUUAAUGGCGUUAAUGUUUCCGUGGAGUUAUCCCUUUCAGUUGUUGUUUAUUGAUUGUUAAACAUGGCUUCAUUUGCAAAGGUGGUUGUGUGUUUCCUCAUUGCUUGUGUCUGUAAUUCAUUCUGUUUUGCGAAGAGAGAUGUGAACUUUAAGGCAUAUGCAGUUGACCGCCAAAGUGAUGUGGUUGUCACCACAACACCCAAUCCCCACAGCCAGACCACAUCUGCCCAUACUGAAGCUGGUGGUGGUGCAAGUGAAGAUGCUACCACCCUAGCACCAAAUCCCCAUAAACAAACUACAUCAGGCCACACUGCAGCUACUGAUGAUCCCAGUGAAGAUGCUUUGGCUACCACCCCAACACCACAUCCCCCAACUACAUCUGACCACACUGCAGCUACCGAUGAUCCAAGUGAAGAUGCUUUGGCUACCACCCCAACAUCACAUCCCCCAACUACAUCUGACCACACUGCAGCUACCGAUGAUCCAAGUGAAGAUGGUUUGGCUACCACCCCAACAUCACAUCCCCCAACUACAUCUGACCACACUGCAGCUACCGAUGAUGCAAGUGAGGGUGCUGUGGCUGUCCAAACUGGAACUACUGUAUCCCAUACGACUGAAGUCUGAUUCGACUGCUCCUCUGGUCACAAUGACCUGAGUCACUGUCUGGACUUUUUGCCUCUACAUGUUGACUGCAAUAAAGGACAGAUAAUUAUUAUUAUUA
ensembl:lncRNA